AUGAACGCUAGCUACAGGCUUAACACAUGCAAGUCGAGGGGCAGCAUGGUCUUAGCUUGCUAAGGCCGAUGGCGACCGGCGCACGGGUGAGUAACACGUAUCCAACCUGCCGUCUACUCUUGGACAGCCUUCUGAAAGGAAGAUUAAUACAAGAUGGCAUCAUGAGUCCGCAUGUUCACAUGAUUAAAGGUAUUCCGGUAGACGAUGGGGAUGCGUUCCAUUAGAUAGUAGGCGGGGUAACGGCCCACCUAGUCUUCGAUGGGUAGGGGUUCUGAGAGGAAGGUCCCCCACAUUGGAACUGAGACACGGUCCAAACUCCUACGGGAGGCAGCAGUGAGGAAUAUUGGUCAAUGGGCGAGAGCCUGAACCAGCCAAGUAGCGUGAAGGAUGACUGCCCUAUGGGUUGUAAACUUCUUUUAUAAAGGAAUAAAGUCGGGUAUGGAUGCCCGUUUGCAUGUACUUUAUGAAUAAGGAUCGGCUAACUCCGUGCCAGCAGCCGCGGUAAUACGGAGGAUCCGAGCGUUAUCCGGAUUUAUUGGGUUUAAAGGGAGCGUAGAUGGAUGUUUAAGUCAGUUGUGAAAGUUUGCGGCUCAACCGUAAAAUUGCAGUUGAUACUGGAUAUCUUGAGUGCAGUUGAGGCAGGCGGAAUUCGUGGUGUAGCGGUGAAAUGCUUAGAUAUCACGAAGAACUCCGAUUGCGAAGGCAGCCUGCUAAGCUGCAACUGACAUUGAGGCUCGAAAGUGUGGGUAUCAAACAGGAUUAGAUACCCUGGUAGUCCACACGGUAAACGAUGAAUACUCGCUGUUUGCGAUAUACAGCAAGCGGCCAAGCGAAAGCGUUAAGUAUUCCACCUGGGGAGUACGCCGGCAACGGUGAAACUCAAAGGAAUUGACGGGGGCCCCCACAAGCGGAGGAACAUGUGGUUUAAUUCGAUGAUACGCGAGGAACCUUACCCGGGCUUAAAUUGCAGAUGAAUUACGGUGAAAGCCGUAAGCCGCAAGGCAUCUGUGAAGGUGCUGCAUGGUUGUCGUCAGCUCGUGCCGUGAGGUGUCGGCUUAAGUGCCAUAACGAGCGCAACCCUUGUUGUCAGUUACUAACAGGUUCCGCUGAGGACUCUGACAAGACUGCCAUCGUAAGAUGUGAGGAAGGUGGGGAUGACGUCAAAUCAGCACGGCCCUUACGUCCGGGGCUACACACGUGUUACAAUGGGGGGUACAGAGGGCCGCUACCACGCGAGUGGAUGCCAAUCCCCAAAACCUCUCUCAGUUCGGACUGGAGUCUGCAACCCGACUCCACGAAGCUGGAUUCGCUAGUAAUCGCGCAUCAGCCACGGCGCGGUGAAUACGUUCCCGGGCCUUGUACACACCGCCCGUCAAGCCAUGGGAGCCGGGGGUACCUGAAGUGCGUAACCGCGAGGAGCGCCCUAGGGUAAAACUGGUGACUGGGGCU
rnacentral:rRNA from 1 species